UGGGGGAUAUUGCACAAUGGGCGAAAGCCUGAUGCAGCGACGCCGCGUGGGGGAUGAAGGCUUUCGGGUUGUAAACCUCUUUCGCUAUCGAACAAGGCCCGCUUAGGGUGGGUUGAGGGUAGGUGGAGAAGAAGCGCCGGCUAACUACGUGCCAGCAGCCGCGGUAAUACGUAGGGCGCGAGCGUUGUCCGGAAUUAUUUGGCGUAAAGGGCUUGUAGGCGGGUUGUUGCGCCUGCUGUGAAAACGCGGGGCUUAACUUCGCGCGUGCAGUGGGGACGGGCAGGCUUGAGUGUGGUAGGGGUGACUGGAAUUCCAGGUGUAGCGGUGGAAUGCGAAGAUAUCUGGAGGAACACCGAUGGCGAAGGCAGGUCACUGGGCCAUUACUGACGCUGAGGAGCGAAAGCAUGGGUAGCGAACAGG
rnacentral:rRNA from 1 species